rnacentral:rRNA from 1 species
UACGUAGGGGGCAAGCGUUGUCCGGAUUUAUUGGGCGUAAAGCGCGUGUAGGCGCCAGGUAGGUCCGCUGUGAAAACCCGAGGCUCAACCUCGGGACGUCGGCGGAAACCAUCUGGCUAGAGUCCGGAAGAGGAGAGUGGAAUUCCCGGUGUAGCGGUGAAAUGCGCAGAUAUCGGGAAGAACACCCCGUGGCGAAGGCGGUUC